rnacentral:tRNA from 1 species
GGGGUCAUAGCUCAGUGGCAGAGUGCUUGCUUAGCAUGCAUGAGGCACUGGGUUCAAUUCUCAGCACCA